CAGCAAAGGAAGAAGAAAAAGAAGGAAAGAAGGAAGAGAAGAAGGGCUAAAGUUUUGAGGGGCUGGCACAUGCUACUGCUGCUUUCCUAUUGUUCCUGCUACAUACUUGUUGCUGUUGUAGAGUAGAGGAAGAUGAAAGCAAAGAAGCUACUGUAUAGGGCUGCUGUCCAUGCUUUGAGCAAGCAAAGUGAGAGGUGCAUGAGCUGUCUAAGCUGAACUCCAACUGCUGCUACAUACUUGUUGCUGUACCUGUACCAUUAGGAAGAUAAACUAAUCGGGCGAGGACACGAAGUUGAUUUCGAGGAUCCUAUCGCACUUGUGAUUCAGGUUUUGAGGAAAUUUCCCAAAUAUCAAAGCAUACCCAUCCCCAAGAUGAUUUGCAACUGCGAAAGCACAAUUGCACCACUAGGGCAAAUCUUAAUCUUUUACAUGAAUCUAAACAUGAGGGUGAAGAUGAGCUCACCCCCUUGUGGAUUCUCCUUUUUCAAAUGGUGGAACCGGAGUUCAAGGGGGACAGGAUAUCACUAAUGUUUGUAAGGCUGUGUCUGCGAGACUCUGUGGAUACAGAUGGAUGUUCACCUCUUAUUUAUGGUUUUAUAUUUACAUAAGAUGUAUUAUGUAAAUAUUUAUUUGGCUAUGGGAUUAUUCACUUUUGGGCAUGUAAAAUCUAAUUAUCAUUGUAGAGAAGUCACCAUCAGUAUUAUAUUGUUAAGAACUUUUUAUAUA